rnacentral:rRNA from 1 species
UACGUAGGGUGCAAGCGUUAAUCGGAAUUACUGGGCGUAAGCGUGCGCAGGCGGUUAUGUAAGACAGGUGUGGAAAUCCCAGGGCUCAACCUUGGAACUGCAUUUGUGACUGCAUCGGCUGGAGUGCGGCAGAGGGGAUGGAAUUCCGCGUGUAGCAGUGAAAUGCGUAGAUAUGCGGAGGAACACCGAUGGCGAAGGCAAUCCCCUGGGCCUGCACGAUGACGCUCGAUGCACGAAAGCGUGGGGAGCAAACAGG